rnacentral:piRNA from 1 species
UUUGGGUUUGUCGGCUAUUGC